rnacentral:rRNA from 1 species
UACGGAGGGUGCAAGCAUUAAUCGGAAUUAUUGGGCGUAAAGGGCGCGUAGGCGGGUUUGUAAGUCAGAUGUGAAAUUCCGAAGCUCAACUUCGGAGCUGCAUUUGAAACUGUGAAUCUAGAGGAUUGGCGGAGAAAAUGGAAUUCCACGUGUAGCGGUGAAAUGCGUAGAUAUGUGGAAGAACACCUGUGGCGAAAGCGGUUUUCUAGCUAAUACCUGACGCUGAGGCGCGAGAGCAAGGGGAGCAAACAGG